AGGUGCUUGAGAAAAAAUGCUUUGCUUUAUGUUCAAGCACAAUGGAGGGACAUGUCAAGGAAGUUAGUAAUUGUGCCGAUUAAGAUCAUUCAUCAAGAUUGUUAAAAUCUAUGAGGCAAACUGUGAUGUGUAUUUCAGGCCGGAGGGUGUUUUGGAAUAAGCUAUGAAUUCACGGUUACUGCCAGAGGUGGGACCGGUGUCAGGCGCUUUUGUGGACUCUGAAGUUUUGUCAUGUUGGGUUUGCAAACGUUGUCACGUCCACACAGCAAACACUUUUGCAUCUUCAUAGUGAACUCUCAAAGUAUUUUUUUAUUGAAACAGUGUUGGAAUUUGACCAUAAGCUUCUAGCUGCUAGCAGCUCAUUCUCCUCUCCACCCUGUAGGGCUGACCCCCGCAGCUGUCUUCUUGUCACCAGGAAUUGUGGUUUUCUGUCAGAAUGUUAGUUUACGCAUAAUUUGUGUGUAAAGGUUUAAAUCUGUCAAUAAAAUGUUUAAUAUCCAAUUGUAUUGUUGGCACCUGCAUCCCAUUUCCCAAGAUUACAAAUGAACGUGGAUACCUGUACGGCCACUGCCUGUGACACAGCCUCAUCAGAAACCUGAACUCUACAAACUUCCUUCCUGUUCGUGCCUUAUCUGAAUCUCACGCUGGUAAAUCCUGUUGAAAGGUGAACAAUUACAUUAGUGUCAAAUCCCAAAAAAAGUGAUAUACAGGUUGUGCCAGAAAAAUGUGGCUGCAGAAAGGUUUACCUGCAAGCUGGCACACACACACUGGGGACUCGUGGAUCAGUUUGAGAUGUU